UACGUAGGGUGCGAGCGUUUAAUCGGAAUUACUGGGCGUAAAGCGCGUGUAGGCGGCUCUUCAAGUCAGGCGUGAAAGCCCCGGCUCAACUCGGGAACUGCGCUUGAUACUGUCGAGCUAGAGUGUGGAAGGGGCGAUUGGAAUUCCGUGUGUAGCGGUGAAAUGCGUAGAUAUACGGAGGAACACCAGAGGCGAAGGCGGAUCGCUGGGCCAACACUGACGCUGAGACGGCGAAAGCUAGGGUAGCAAACGGG
rnacentral:rRNA from 1 species